rnacentral:ncRNA from 1 species
UCCCUGCUUUUCCUCCCUGAGCAGGUGCCCGACCGUGAUGACAGCGUGAAGGCAUUUCAAGCCCCGGCCCCGUGCCGGGGCUUUUCUUU